UACGUAGGGGGCAAGCGUUGUCCGGAUUCAUUGGGCGUAAAGAGCGUGUAGGCGGCCAGGUAGGUCUGGUGUGAAAACUCGAGGCUUAACCUCGAGAUGUCAUCGGGAACCAUCUGGCUAGAGUCCGGAAGAGGAGAGUGGAAUUCCUGGUGUAGCGGUGAAAUGCGCAGAUAUCAGGAGGAACACCUGUGGCGAAAGCGGCUCACUGGACCACAACUGACGCUGAGGCGCGAAAGCUAGGGGAGCAAACAGG
rnacentral:rRNA from 1 species